GCAUGUAGCUCAGUGGUAGAGUGCAUGCCUAGCAUGCAGGAAGCCCUGGGUUUGAUCCCUGGCACUGCA
rnacentral:tRNA from 1 species